GUACAUUUACCUGACAAUAAUUUGAGUUUCUUAAUUUAUCUUAUUACGUUAUUACGUAGUGUUGUUUCUCAAUGCUCUUUCGAUUGUGCGCGAGUGAUGUGCGGCGUUCGUUAAACACGGAUUGUGCAUACGCAGAGGUAUAGCAUGAGUGAUAUUUAGUUGGCCGUCGGAUACUCUUUUUGUAUUAUACGCGUAUUUCAUCGUUUCUACAAUGAGCCUAAUUAAGGUCCUUAUAACCUAGUUAUACCCAAAGCGCAAAUGUUAAUUUUGCAUCAAGGCAUGUGAUCGCAUUUCUUCAACAAUAUGAAAAUCAAAUCUGUUAUUGAAUUUACUUGUGCUUUACUGCGACCGCGUGGCCUUAAGUAUAAAAAUAAUUGUUGUUUUUGUUGCAAUACCCACCGUUGAUUAGCAAUACGAAUUCGAUACAUUGUUUCGUUUUCGUUUAAUGAACGAAUUAAAAAGAUUAAGAAUUAAAGAGUAAUAAUGUAGUACCACUAGCCUACGACUAAGUCCUGGGGGACAAAGAUCGAUGACAACCUUGGGCAGAAGAAUGGAUUUUGCACCUAAGUCUGACAUCGAUCAAGGACCAUUCAUGGAUUAGAAUGUUAGUAUUUAAUUUCUUAAUCAUUCUUCUUAAUAACUUUUGUGAUUAUCUCACUAAUUAACUCCUAAAAUUGCAUUUGUAUGUUCAAAGUACUAAUUUUUGCUAGAUUUAGGGAUUUCGCACCUAAGUCUAACAUCGUAGAAGGACCACAGUUGGACUAAUUUUUGAUGGUUUUAAGGAUUUUGCACCUGAGUCUGACAACGUAGAAGAAUCAUUCUUGCAUCAGAAUGGAUUUUGCAUAUGAGUCAGAAAUCGUAGAAGGACCAUUCUUGCAUCAGAAUCAUUUUUAUGUUCGAUGGAUUAAUUUUUGAUGGUUUUACGGAUUUUGCACCUGAGUCUGACAUCGUAGAAGGACCAUUCUUGCAUC